rnacentral:rRNA from 1 species
GUGCCAGCAGCCGCGGUAACACGUAGGCACCAAGCGUUGUCCGGAUUUAUUGGGCGUAAAGAGCUCGUAGGCGGUUCAGUAAGUCGGGUGUGAAAACUCUGGGCUCAACCCAGAGACGCCACCCGAUACUGCUGUGACUUGAGUACGGUAGGGGAGUGGGGAAUUCCUGGUGUAGCGGUGAAAUGCGCAGAUAUCAGGAGGAACACCAGUGGCGAAGGCGCCACUCUGGGCCGUAACUGACGCUGAGGAGCGAAAGCGUGGGUAGCAAACAGGAUUAGAUACCCCUGUAGUCC